rnacentral:rRNA from 1 species
UACGUAGGGGGCAAGCGUUGUCCGGAAUCAUUGGGCGUAAAGAGCGUGUAGGCGGUCCGGUAAGUCCGCUGUGAAAGUCGGGGGCUCAACCCUCGAAUGCCGGUGGAUACUGUCGGGCUAGAGUGCGGAAGAGGCGAGUGGAAUUCCUGGUGUAGCGGUGAAAUGCGCAGAUAUCAGGAGGAACACCCGUGGCGAAGGCGGCUCUCUGGGACGGUACUGACGCUGAGACGCGAAAGCGUGGGGAGCGAACAGG